rnacentral:rRNA from 1 species
GGUAGUGGGGGACAACGUUUCGAAAGGAACGCUAAUACCGCAUACUUCCUACGGGAGAAAGCAGGGGACCUUCGGGCCUUGCGCUAUCAGAUGAGCCUAGGUCGGAUUAGCUAGUUGGUGAGGUAAUGGCUCACCAAGGCGACGAUCCGUAACUGGUCUGAGAGGAUGAUCUGUCACACUGGAACUGAGACACGGUCCAGACUCCUACGGGAGGCAGCAGUGGGGAAUAUUGGACAAUGGGAGAAAGCCUGAUCCACCCAUGCCGCGUGUGUGAAGAAGGUCUUCGGAUUGUAAAGCACUUUAAGUUGGGAGGAAGGGCAGUAAGUUAAU